UAAUAGUGUAUAUUAAAGUUGUUGCAGUUAAAAAGCUCGUAGUUGAAUGUUGGUGUCGAACGAGCGGUCAGCUUCGGCUGUACUGCUCUCUCGACUCCUUCCUUCUGUGGACUACGUCGCACUUUACUGUGUGGCGCUAGGACGCAGAUCGUUUACUGUGAAAAAAUUAGAGUGUUCAAAGCAGGCCGUACGCUUGAAUACAUUAGCAUGGAAUAAUGGAAUAGGACGUCGGGCCUAUUUUGUUGGUUCUAGGACCGUCGUAAUGAUUAAUAGGGACAGUUGGGGCCGUUUAUAUUCCGUAGUCAGAGGUGAAAUUCUUGGAUUUACGGAAGAUAAACUACUGCGAAAGCAUUCGGCAAGGAUGUUNUCGUUNA
rnacentral:rRNA from 1 species